CGUCCUCCUCGGGGUCAUACAGCCUUAUGGGGACAGCAGCGGGACGGAGGACGAAGCAACUCAGUCUCUGCAUCAGUUGCUGUAACAGUUUCCAGUUCCGGAUGAGAUCCAGCUGGUCCCGGAUCGUCAUGUGUUCCUCCGACAGGCAGGGGAAGUCAUCCAGCACAUAGCCUGAAGGGGAGAUAACUCAAGUGACAUGUGGAUGUUAACUAAGUGCUUCCUGAGUCUCACAAUGCUGCAGCACUAACAACACAGGCUACAGCAGGUAAACGUCCGAUGCUCCAAACUCAACUCUCAUCCCAAGAAGCAUCACAU